GAUGAACGCUGGCGGCGUGCCUAAUACAUGCAAGUCGAGCGAACAGACGAGGAGCUUGCUCCUCUGACGUUAGCGGCGGACGGGUGAGUAACUCGUGGAUAACCUACCUAUAAGACUGGGAUAACUUCGGGAAACCGGAGCUAAUACCGGAUAACAUAUUGAACCGCAUGGUUCAAUAGUGAAAGACGGUUUUGCUGUCACUUAUAGAUGGAUCCGCGCCGCAUUAGCUAGUUGGUAAGGUAACGGCUUACCAAGGCGACGAUGCGUAGCCGACCUGAGAGGGUGAUCGGCCACACUGGAACUGAGACACGGUCCAGACUCCUACGGGAGGCAGCAGUAGGGAAUCUUCCGCAAUGGGCGAAAGCCUGACGGAGCAACGCCGCGUGAGUGAUGAAGGUCUUCGGAUCGUAAAACUCUGUUAUUAGGGAAGAACAAAUGUGUAAGUAACUAUGCACGUCUUGACGGUACCUAAUCAGAAAGCCACGGCUAACUACGUG
rnacentral:rRNA from 1 species